UCCUUCAGUUUGUGGAGAACUACUUGGCGGGGAAGUCCCUACAAUUUUCAUGGACAAGGAAUGACGUGGAGGAAAAGAGGAAACAGAUUAAAUUGUCAUUGACUGCUUUCAGCUGUAGGCAAGGCUCGAUGGUUACAGGGGUCAGGCCGGUCCGCAUAGUCAUUCCCACCCAAGGAAGACUGCACAGGCAAAUCUGGGAAUGCACUCAGGAAGCAAAGCUUAACUUAAAUUUUACUAGAUUAUUAAUGGCUGUUUUCACACCUGAUAGGGAGUUAAAUAAUUAUUAAAGUGUAAUGUUAUGGAUGUCACUGUAACACUAGCUGUGCCUUGCUUGUUUCCAUAGAGACCCUAAGUGUUAAGUCUGUGAGUGACCGCUCUCUGGGCCAGUCAGAUUCUGGCUUCAUCGAGCCAAAACAGUCAACCUCCGGAGAGGCAUCCAUAACAUCCAUCCAGAAGUCUGCUAAGAGGAUGAGAGAUGAGAGUCCUGGUGAUGAUGCUAGUGUGAAGAGGUCAAAAGAAACAGUUGCUGAGGCGUCCCCAGCAGAGGUCCCAGACAUCACGAUAACGGACGAGUCCAGUCAGCCAGAUGACAGGCAGAUCCAGUGGCAGAGGUCGCACCCACCCAGCAGGUGGAAGUGGAACAGAAGGAGGGGGCA